GACGAACGCUGGCGGCGUGCUUAACACAUGCAAGUCGAACGGAAAGGCCCUGCUUUUGUGGUGUGCUCGAGUGGCGAACGGGUGAGUAACACGUGAGUAACCUGCCCUUGACUUUGGGAUAACUUCAGGAAACUGGGGCUAAUACCGGAUAGGAGCUCCUGCUGCAUGGUGGGGGUUGGAAAGUUUCGGCGGUUGGGGAUGGACUCGCGGCUUAUCAGCUUGUUGGUGGGGUAGUGGCUUACCAAGGCUUUGACGGGUAGCCGGCCUGAGAGGGUGACCGGCAACAUUGGGACUGAGAUACGGCCCAGACUCCUACGGGAGGCAGCAGUGGGGAAUAUUGCACAAUGGGCGGAAGCCUGAUGCAGCAACGCCGCGUGCGGGAUGACGGCCUUCGGGUUGUAAACCGCUUUCGCCUGUGACGAAGCGUGAGUGACGGUAAUGGGUAAAGAAGCACCGGCUAACUACGUG
rnacentral:rRNA from 1 species